UCGUACAACGGGGGUGCGAGGGCUGUCGCUGGCCUUUUAAAAAGGUCGUGCACGCCUGAGCACUCUCACAACAUCCAUCUCACCCCUUGUGCAUCACCGCGUGGGUCCCCUUCGCAGGAAGGCUCACGUUUUCACACAAAACUUGAUACAGUGUAGAAUGUUAUCUUUUGCGGUCACACGCAAUCAAUA
rnacentral:misc_RNA from 1 species